UACGAAGGGGGCUAGCGUUGCUCGGAAUCACUGGGCGUAAAGGGUGCGUAGGCGGGUCUUUAAGUCAGGGGUGAAAUCCUGGAGCUCAACUCCAGAACUGCCUUUGAAACUGAGGAUCUUGAGUUCGGGAGAGGUGAGUGGAACUGCGAGUGUAGAGGUGAAAUUCGUAGAUAUUCGCAAGAACACCAGUGGCGAAGGCGGCUCACUGGCCCGAUACUGACGCUGAGGCACGAAAGCGUGGGGAGCAAACAGG
rnacentral:rRNA from 1 species